GACGAACGCUGGCGGCGUGCUUAACACAUGCAAGUCGAACGGAAAGGCCCUGCUUUUGUGGGGUUCUCGAGUGGCGAACGGGUGAGUAACACGGGAGUAACCUGCCCUUGACUUUGGGAUAACUUCAGGAAACGGGGGCUAAUACCGGAUAGGAGCUCCUUCUGCAUGUUGGGGGUUGGAAUGUUUCGUCGGGUGGGGAUGGACUCGCGGCUUGUCAGUUUGUUGGUGGGGUAGUGGCUUACCAAGGCUUUGACGGGUGGCCGGCCUGAGGGGGUGACCGGCAACAUUGGGACUGAGAUACGGCCAGGACUCCUACGGGAGGCAGAAGUGGGGAAUAUUGAAAAAGGGGGGGAAGCCUGAUGCAGCAACGCCGCGUGCGGGAUGACGGCCUUCGGGUGGUAACCCGCUUCCGCCUGUGACGAAGCGUGAGUGACGGUAAUGGGUAAAGAAGCACCGGCUAACUACGUG
rnacentral:rRNA from 1 species